AUCCACUUCUACAUGUUAGAUAUAAUAAUAUAACAAUACUACGUAGAUUAAUACACAAUAAAAUAUCCUUUUACUCCGGUUAUAUUUAUUACUAACUCUCAAUUAAUCUAUCUUAAUUAUUUUCUAACCACUUUCUAUAUUUAUCAGCUAUUUUAUUUCUUCUUGUUAAUCUGCGAAAUCCAUGCAUGUACACUUCCUUGUAUGGUGAUUGAUUGUUCACGAGGUAAGUUGCACUUUCACUGUUUUCGUUAUUCGUUGAACUAACACAGUAAUUGGAACACUCGUAAUAAACUUCUUUUCUUUUUCCAAGUUUCCGCUAUCUGUGUCAUUCGACGAACACUGCCACGCCUCCACAGCACCGUUAUAACAUUUAGCGAUGCUGCUCUUUGCAUUAAGGCAAUUGAAGUUAAUUCGUUCGUUUAUUUUCAGCUGGUACAUGGUGUCCCGCAAGCAGGGAGCCAUAUCAUAUUUUGCAUGUAGACCUUCUUGUUUGAUGAUUACUUGUUUACAAGGUAACUUUCACUUCCCCUCUUUUAAUUAUUUAUUGAAUCGACACGUUGUAUAUUCAAACAAUAAUUGGAGUACACAUAAUAAUUUUCCCUUUUUCUUUUUAGGUUUUCGCUAUCUGUAUUAUUCGACGGACAGUGUUACACCUCCUUUUGAUUUAUCCAUAAUAUAGUUAUAACAUUUAGUAACCUUGUAUUUUGCACUGAGACAAUUGAAACUAAUUUAUUCACUUAUUUUAGGUAGCUGUCAUACAUUGUGUUCCACGAACAACGAUCCAUAACCUAUACUUGCACGUACACUUUCUUGUAUGUUGAUCACUUGUUCACAAGGUGUUCGAUAUCUGUAUUAUUCGACGAACAGCACUAUAACAUAUACUACCGCACUACGUUGCCCACUGAAAUCGCUUUAUUCAUUGCUUAUUUCGAUUAUGCGCUAGUUUUAACUUGUUUAAAUGCACCGUUCGCGGAAUCCCUUUUACUUCGAUCUUGACGUUUUGGUUCUGCAAGAUUUCUAGCACUUUGUAUGGUCCAGUAUAUUGAUCGGAGAAUUUUCCUUUACUGGGUUCUUUUAGUAAAUAUAUCGAAUCUCCUAUUUUAAAAUCUUGGGGGUUGAUUCGUCGGUCGUAAUAUUCUUUUGAUCUUAGUUUGGAUUUUAUCAAAUUUUCUCUCGCCAUUCGUUGUACGGUGUUAAUUUUAUCGAACAGAUCUUCGAGAUAUUCUGCGUAAGUUGGUUCCAUGUUCUCUUCGAUUAUUACUUCACCAGUAGGUUCUCUGGCUAGAUGUCCAAAAACUAAUUCGUGCGGGGAGAAUUUCGUUCCUUCGUGUACAGAGGUAUUAUAGGAAAACAUAGCUAAUUCUACCCAUUCGUCCCAAUUUUUGGAAUUUUCAAU